rnacentral:rRNA from 1 species
GACGAACGCUGGCGGCGUGCCUAAUACAUGCAAGUAGAACGCUGAAGAGAGGAGCUUGCUCUUCUUGGAUGAGUUGCGAACGGGUGAGUAACGCGUAGGUAACCUGCCUUGUAGCGGGGGAUAACUAUUGGAAACGAUAGCUAAUACCGCAUAACAAUGGAUGACACAUGUCAUUUAUUUGAAAGGGGCAAUUGCUCCACUACAAGAUGGACCUGCGUUGUAUUAGCUAGUAGGUGAGGUAAUGGCUCACCUAGGCGACGAUACAUAGCCGACCUGAGAGGGUGAUCGGCCACACUGGGACUGAGACACGGCCCAGACUCCUACGGGAGGCAGCAGUAGGGAAUCUUCGGCAAUGGGGGCAACCCUGACCGAGCAACGCCGCGUGAGUGAAGAAGGUUUUCGGAUCGUAAAGCUCUGUUGUAAGUCAAGAACGGGUGUGAGAGUGGAAAGUUCACACUGUGACGGUAGCUUACCAGGAAGGGACGGCUAACUACGUG